UACGGAGGAUCCAAGCGUUAUCCGGAAUCAUUGGGUUUAAAGGGUCCGUAGGCGGUUUGGUAAGUCAGUGGUGAAAGCCCAUCGCUCAACGGUGGAACGGCCAUUGAUACUGCCAGACUUGAAUUAUUAGGAAGUAACUAGAAUAUGUAGUGUAGCGGUGAAAUGCUUAGAGAUUACAUGGAAUACCAAUUGCGAAGGCAGGUUACUACUAAUGGAUUGACGCUGAGUGGACGAAAGCGUGGGUAGCAAACAGG
rnacentral:rRNA from 1 species